rnacentral:lncRNA from 1 species
UAGCUGCAUUUAAGUCGAUGAUUAAUAGGGCGUUCACGCAUGUUACCAGAAGGAAAGAAAGGAAGGAGAUAAGCUCUAUCUUAGAUAUGAGUGUUAAACAUGGAUAUAAUAGAAGAAUGUCAGAGAUUAGUUGACAGAAUUAGGAAGAACUGUGAAGAAGAGCCCAACAGGAAUAUGGAUACACAUGAAGAAAAUAGAGGAUGCUACUCUCAAGUCAUGUACUACCCUGCCACUGAUAAGAUCCUUAGUAAAGCAAUGAAGAGAACAAAUAAGAUGGUGAGGAAGAGAGGGCUGUCCUUAUUUAAU